AUGCAAGUCGAGCGGUAACAGAGAGUAGCUUGCUACUCUGCUGACGAGCGGCGGACGGGUGAGUAAUGCUUGGGAAUAUGCCUUAUGGUGGGGGACAACAGUUGGAAACGACUGCUAAUACCGCAUGAUGUCUACGGACCAAAGUGGGGGACCUCCGGGCCUCACGCCAUAAGAUUAGCCCAAGUGGGAUUAGCUAGUUGGUGAGGUAAUGGCUCACCAAGGCGACGAUCCCUAGCUGGUUUGAGAGGAUGAUCAGCCACACUGGGACUGAGACACGGCCCAGACUCCUACGGGAGGCAGCAGUGGGGAAUAUUGCACAAUGGGCGCAAGCCUGAUGCAGCCAUGCCGCGUGUGUGAAGAAGGCCUUCGGGUUGUAAAGCACUUUCAGUAAGGAGGAAAGGUUAAGUGUUAAUAGCACUUAGCUGUGACGUUACUUACAGAAGAAGCACCGGCUAACUCCGUGCCAGCAGCCGCGGUAAUACGGAGGGUGCGAGCG
rnacentral:rRNA from 1 species